rnacentral:rRNA from 1 species
AUUUGGUUUGGGGCCCUUCCCGGGGUACCCUGCUGAGCCAAACUCCGAAUACCAUUGCGAUUAUCUCGGGAGUCAGUCCGCGAGGGAUAAGCUUCGCGGUCGAGAGGGAAACAACCCAGAUUACCUGCUAAGGUCCCGAAGUCAUACUCAGUCACUAAGGAAGUUGAAUUGCCGAGACAACCAGGAUGUUGGCUUAGAAGCAGCCACCAUUUAAAAAGUGAGUAACAGCUUACUGGUCAAGCAAUUCUGCGCCGAUAAUGAACGGGAGUAAGUAUGACGCCGAAGCAGUAAGUUCAGUGAUCCUGCGGGAGAUCUGAGCGGUAGGAGAGCGCUGUACGUCAGAUACAAGCGGUACCGUAAGGAGCCGUGUCGGGGCGUACAGGUGAUUAUGCCGGAAUGAGUAACGAUAAGACAGGUGAGAAUCCUGUCCGCCGAAAGCCUAAGGUUUCCUGGGGAAGGUAAAUCCGCCCAGGGUUAGCCGGUGCCUUAGUCGAGGCCGAAAGGCGUAGACGAUGGACAGCAGGUCAACAUUCCUGCGCCAGCUAUGUGGACCGAUGGAGGGACAACGCCCGAAAGGUGAGCGGUACGAUUAGAAAUGUCCGUCACCCCUUGCAAGGCGAUUCGUAGGAAAAUCCGCGAGUCAUCAGCCAAGCGUGGGGUGCGAGUGCGUAUAUGUUCACGAAGUCAUUGGAAGGGCGUUCAAGAAAAUCUCCUAAGGGUUGAAGCAUAGCUGACCGUACUAAAACUGACACAGGUAGGUGAGACGAGUAGUCUAAGGCGCUCGGGAGAAUACUGGUUAAGGAACUCUGCAAAAUGGCCCCGUAAGUUCGCGAUAAGGGGUGCCUCUGGCGGUGCAAGCUGCUGGAGGCCACAGUAAAUCGAUUCCUCCAACUGUUUAUCAAAAACACAGGUCUCUGCUAACUCGCAAGAGGAUGUAUAGAGACUGACGCCUGCCCGGUGUCGGUAGGUUAAGGGAGCAGGUUAGCCGUAAGGCGAAGCUCGCGACCGAAGCCCCGAUAAACGGCGGCCGUAACUAUGACGGUCCUAAGGUAGCGAAGUUCCUUGUCGGGUAAGUUCCGACGUGCAUGAAAGGCGUAAUGAGAGGAAGACUGUCUCAACCAGUAACCCGGUGAAAUUGUAGUCGUGGUGAAGAUGCCACGUUCCCGCAGCUAGACGGAAAGACCCCGUGAACCUUGACUGUAGGCUGAUAUUGGGCUCGUGUAUUGACUGUGUAGGAUAGGUGGGAGGCUAUGAACCUUGGGCGCAAGCUCAGGGGGAGCCAUUGGUGAAAUACCACCCUUUUAAUGCAUAAGUUCUAACGCUGAUUCCUGUGAAUCCAGGCAGCGGACAGUGUCAGUUGGGCAGUUUGACUGGGGCGGUCUCCUCCC